rnacentral:misc_RNA from 1 species
GUGAAUAGCUAAGGAUUCAGGAUCUUCGCAACGAUACAGAGACUUCACAGGAAUUAUAGGAGAUGAUGAGGUUACAAACUUAUGCGGGGCUUAGCUUAAUAGCUACACUGGCUGUUAUUUAUCAUGCCUUUAAUAGCAGAGGACAAUUUUACCCAGCAAUGGUUUAUCUGUCGACGUCCAAGAUCAGUCUUGUGCUUCUUCUCAAUAUGGGUCUUGUUGUCAUGUGCAUUUUGUGGCAGAUGACAAAGAAAAUUUUCCUUGGUCCACUUCGCGAGGCUGAGGUGGAGAGGCUGAAUGAACAGUCUUGGC